CCUGAACGCUGGCGGCGUGGCUAAGACAUGCAAGUCGCACGGGGUAGCAAUACCCAGUGGCGAACGGGAGAGUAAUGAAUCGCUAACGUACCCCGGACUCUGAGAUAGCCACUCCGAAAGGGUAGGGUAAUAUCAGAUAAUAUAACUUACAGGCAUCUGUGAGUUCUCAAAGGUCCGCCGGUCUGGGAGCGGGCGAUUUCGUAUCAGCUAGUUGGUGAGGUAACGGCNCACCAAGGCGACGACGCGUAGCCGGACUGAGAGGUUGGCCGGCCUCAUUGGGACUGAGACACUGCCCAGACUCCUACGGGGGGCGU
rnacentral:rRNA from 1 species